GACGAACGCUGGCGGCGUGCUUAACACAUGCAAGUCGAGCGGAAAGGCCACUUCGGUGGUACUCGAGCGGCGAACGGGUGAGUAACACGUGAGUAAUCUGCCCUUCACUCUGGGAUAGCCACCGGAAACGGUGGUUAAUACCGGAUACGACCACUCCACGCAUGUGGUGGUGGUGGAAACUUUUUGGGUGGGGGAUGUGCUCGCGGCCUAUCAGCUUGUUGGUGGGGUAAUGGCCUACCAAGGCUUCGACGGGUAGCCGGCCUGAGAGGGUGACCGGCCACACUGGGACUGAGACACGGCCCAGACUCCUACGGGAGGCAGCAGUGGGGAAUAUUGGACAAUGGGCGGAAGCCUGAUCCAGCAACGCCGCGUGAGGGAUGACGGCCUUCGGGUUGUAAACCUCUUUCAGCACCGACGAAGCGCAAGUGACGGUAGGUGCAGAAGAAGGACCGGCCAACUUCGUGCCAGCCGCCGCCGUAA
rnacentral:rRNA from 1 species